rnacentral:lncRNA from 1 species
GGGGGGCACGGGACCCCUCCCCGGCUGCCAGAUCCCCCCCCUGCCAGGGGACGCCGCCGGCUCCAGACACAACACCAAAAAAAAAUCAUAAACUAACCCAAAACGCCGCCGCCGCUUCCGUUGCCACCGCUCCGGCUCCCGGCUGGGGCCAUCGCUCUGCUCCCUCCACGCCGGGAUUUGGCUGUCCCAAACGGGGUUUUUUUGGUUGUUUUUGGUUUGUUUCUUUUGGUUGUUUUUGGUUUGUUUCUUUUGGUUGUUUUUGGUUUGUUUCUUUUGGUUGUUUUUGGUUUGUUUCUUUUGGUUGUUUUUGGUUUGUUUCUUUUGGUUGUUUUUGGUUUGUUUCUUUUGGUUGUUUUUGGUUUGUUUCUUUUUUGUGCUUUUUGGGGAGUUUUUUGGGGUUUUUUUGUUUGUUUUUUGGUUUUUUUUUUUUUGAUUUCUCUCCGGCAGCUCUAAACCUCCCCCGGGGCCCCGCGCGGACGGAUUUGAACCCCAACGGUUUGUUCUUUUCAGGUGGGUUUGGUGGCAGCCGCGGUGGCGGUUAUGGCGGCGGCGGAGACGGCUAUAAUGGAUUUGGCAAUGACGGUAAGGCCAGAGCGGGAUUUCUCCGACGGGCAGCGGCCGCCGCGCCCAGCCG